GGAUGUGAGAAAUGAAAGGCCAAUCUGCGCCUUUUUUAUUUGCGCAUCUUUCGUUCAAUAGGGGACACGAUUUAACUUUCAGUUCUCGUAAAGAUAUUAGGGAACAAAUCUCUCGAGGUAAAGAAGUUAAUCUUGGGCAAAACCAAAUCCCUAAUUGUUGAAGGUUUGUGAGGGAAGAAACCCAACUCGGAAGCCUCCUGCCUCUGUACCAGUUCACUACUAACUCUUUAAGAUUAGGAUGCGGUUGGAGAUUUUGGAAUGCCAUUUCUUCACUUUGAACAUUUGCAUCAUCAUCUCGAUCCGAAGAUAAAGACAAUGAUUGAAGAAGCGACUUGUCUUUCAAAAUAGGAUUUAUUAUCCCAUUUUUCACAUAUCCCAAAUUUCUAAUUUCAAGACUUCCUCUCAAAUUGUUGAGGCUAUUCAAUUCAUUUAAUCCUCCAACAUUCUUUACCACUGAAUUAUCUUUUAUAAGCCAAUUUUAUAAACCCUAAUAUUUCAUACAACAUGUAAAUCAUGUAUGCUAUUGCAAAAAUACAUAUUUUAGGUUACAACACUUGUAACUCAAUUGCUAAAAGGCCUAUUUGUUAUUGUAAAUCAUUGUCCAAAUCAUAUCACACACCCGUAACUCUCUAAAGUUUGGAACAAUAACUUUAGAUAUUGGCAACUUACUUACAUCAUCACUAGUAGAAAAGUCUUGACGUGGCAAAAGAAACGUUCUCAAUUUUAGUGCAUUGCUUAAUCCAGCAGGAAUUUGUUGGGAUGAAUAUAACCAGAAGUCAAAUGACACGUGACGG
rnacentral:misc_RNA from 1 species